UGGAUGAUGAAUUGAUGAUGUAUGUGCCAAGCAAAGAUAGGCAAUUUUAUUUCUGGAGUUUUGAGUCAUGUUACUUGACUAUGGUUAUUACAAGGUGGAACAGUGGAAAAUGAGGUGGAUAGUUAAUAAUGCAGUUGGCGUUUGCUGGUUUGGUCAGUCAGUUGCAUGUUCAUUGUGGGGAAAUUAGUUCUUCCACUAGCUGAUGCUAUUUUCAAAAUUUGUGUAUUUCUGUAGCAUUGGAAGCAGCACCUAGAGUUGAGAGACCAAGAGCAGAUGCUUCAAGUGCUUGAUAAGCACAAAGUUCAGGUGCUCAAUUGUGGAGUUCUUUGUCAGGGGAAAUUGGACUUCUUCUUC
rnacentral:lncRNA from 1 species